AUGUUGGACUUCCUCUCUUCCCAGAGGAAUCCCCUUUAUAGCUCUCGAGGCCUGACCCCAGCGUCCCCGCGAAUGUCGUCUGACUGCUGCAUGGAGUGCAGCCGCAGCUCCUGUGCCGGGUGCCAGCUGGACGUGCUUGGCGGCUGGGGCCCUGGGAGCCACCUCUCGGGAUGUCAGAGGGGAGCUGCAGCCGCCCUUCCGUCAGCAGGAAGCCCAGCCACAAACACUUGGACAGGAAGCGCAGGCGCUGGCCAGCUGAGCGAGCUCUGGUUUCUCCCGUGUCUGAGGGCCUGGCCCAGUGUAGAGGAAGACCAGCCAGGUGCUGCGGCCUGCACUGACAGGGCUGGGAUGUGGGCUCUGGGCGUGAGCGGAAAAGCACCGCUGAGGCUGGACCAGAGGAGGAGCUUCCUGGAGGAGGGUGAGGGAGCAGGGAACACGGCGUCUAGCAGACCUCGGCCAGCUGGCUGGGGACACGCAAAGACCCCUUUGUGAUGGUUCCAGACAAAAUGUGUUCGCUUGGGCCCAGACCUCCGGCAUAAGCCCAGGCCGGCUCCAACCUCCAGGCGGCCUCCGCCUCUGUGAAAACACACUGUAGUCCCCUGGGGUGGGAUGUCCACACGUUCCCAGCUUGAAGAAUGACUCCUCUCAGGGGAAGCCUCUUUCGUAACCUACCGGGUUGUAUUGUGAGUGAAUUAAUACAAAAUAGAGCGUGCUGAGCUGGGGACAAAGGCAAUUUUGCAUUCCGGUCGACGUUGUUGCUUCUAAGUGCUACGUGUGAUUAUCCUCAGGGCAGUCUGUGUGUGCAGACCAUGUGUGUGCCCCAAGGACCCCCAGGAUUUACAGAGCGCUUCAAAUUUUCACAAGUCGCUCGGGUAUUUUUCCCCCCACUUUUGCUUCUCACGACCUGAUACGUCAGUAAGAGAUGCCCGGUAUCUGGGGACCAGGAGGUAGGCAGAUUGGCUCAAGGUCACACGGCUCAGUCAUGGCAGAUCCAGGGCCACCGCCAUGACUUGUCUUGCUCUAAAAAGAUAACUUAGAUGAUUAUUACUUUCCAAGGGCCCGAACCUCUCCUACCUUACCCUGGACUGCGUGCUUUCAAGCUCCCGCCCUCGGAGUCUGUAGCUAAUAGCCCGUUGUUUGAAGCACAUUUUGAAAACCUUCUGGGUGAAUCCUGCCUGUGGCUUUAUUCCCUCCCCCUGCCAUGCCCACAGGUUUUUAUUAGUGGCAUUUCAAUAAUCUAGAUUUUAUCAUAGCCUAUGACCUCUAUGGUUCUGACUCUAGACCAAGGGUUAGCAACUUUUUCUGUAAAGGGAUAGACGGUAAAUAUUUUAAGUUACGGGCCACUUGGUCUCUGUAGCAAUUGCCCAACUCUGCCAUUGUGGUGCAAAAGUAGCCAUAGACAGUGUGUAAACAAAUGGCGUGGCUGUGUUCCAAUAAAGCUUUAUUCACAAAAACCGGCA
rnacentral:lncRNA from 1 species